GCUCCUCCGGUUUCAGGAAACAAACUAACGUGCUUUGCGAGAGUGAAAUUGUUGUUUGGUCUUUGUUUUCUUCGGUCGGUUUUGUUUACUGCACCAUCGCACCGUGCGCGGAUCGGAUGGCGUGUUUGUGAUUGCGUGUUUCGGUUCGAGUGUCGUGCCGCUACUGUAUACCAGCUACUGUAGGUGGAAAAACCGAAUGUUUUUUCCCGUGCGAAUGACAAAGUUUGGCAAGAAAGGACAACGUUUGUCGGUGGUUUUACGGAAGAACCGCAAAAAAGUGCCCGACUGUGAAAAAGUAGAUAAUAAUUUUGGAUAAAACAAUUUGAGCAAGAGACUGAUAACUUUUUUUCGGUGCUAAAGAACUGAAUUUGAAAGACUGUGAAAAACAAUGGCAGUUGCAUUCUACAUUCCCUCGGUGGACGAGGAAGAAAUUAAGCCUAAUCAGGCCUAUCAGCAACAGCAACAGCCGCAGCAGCAACAACAACAAUCGGGUGCGAGUCCGAACGUGUCGCAACAAGUUUGUUCCGGCGAAUUUAGAGAACAACAGCAACACCUGCUGCUGCUCUUUCACGAGAUCCUGCUCGCCUACGCCAGUGAAGCCAUCCUGGCACAGCGGGCCACAACCUUGGCCAAUCCUUCGCCGUGUUUGCUUUGCAAAAAGCUAUACUAUCUAUUUCGUCGAAUCUACUGACCGGCGCGUUAUCGACCCGUUACCACCGCCGAUAACAAGAACAACAGUAAUAACGUUAGCCAAAAACGUGCCAGGAUUAUUGAUAAAACGUUUGCCACCAACUCUACUACUGAUACUAUUACUACUACUACUGCUACUACUACUACUAAUACUACUACGAAUACUACUACGUCAAAUACUGCUGUCAGGACUAAGCGCGUGCCGUGCAGCGACGGGUGCAGCCACAGCAGCAGCAACAGCAGGCGAAUGAGAGAAACUAGGUCAAGGACUGAACGUGGUGCAUUUACAACCACCAACAGAAGUACUGUUAGCUGUAAGCGUCGUAAAUGGAACGAGUUGUGAAUUUUGGUGCUACCGGCGAGAGAUUGUGCAACGGUGACUCAUGUAACCCACGAAACAGGGAUGCAUCGAUUUCGGCAAGUCUCCCGGCUCAAAUAUUGAUUUUGGUCAGAAGCGAGUUGGUCUGGUUUGGGAGAUGGUGGACCACCGGAGCUGGACCCUUUGUUUGGAUCCGGUCCGGUCCACAAAGGGACGAAGGCUGUUUAGGAUGGUUUCACAAUAGCAUUGUACUGUAGAUUUUUUUGCGGAAAAACUUUGGAUCAAGCUGGCUUAGUCCAGUCGUAUUAUAGCAAUCAACUCCCUUUUAUACAAAAAUGAAAAAUCCUGUACAUAAAAAGCAGUUACUCUCCUCGUGUAUCGAUAUACUGUGUAAGUUAACGAGAUAGCUGUGAAUAACCAAAGCAUCUGAUCAAAAGACAAACUACAAAACGACACAAAGUUUUUACAUCUUUACCCCCCAUUAAGUGUAAGUGUAGGCUUAGCACUCCAUAUAUUUGUCUGAAAAUUGUUAGAUUGUUAAGAAAAGCGUAUUGUGACACUAUCUUUACUAUCGAGAUUAGACUUAAGGCAAACCCCCCGAGGCGGAAAGCAACAAAAACAAAACAAAGUAAAAGCGCAAUGUGAUAUUGAACUUCUUUUUUCUUAAUUUUUAAAUGUGACAUUUCUAUUCUAACCGAAUCGAAUCGAUUUAAAAAAGAACGAAAGCAAGGAACAGAAGAGAAUAAGGCAACGUGUACUGGCGGCAGCCGCUAGAUUACUGAAAGGAAGAGAUAGAGAUUCUGUACAUAUUUAUUUUAAAAAUUGACAAAAAAGAAAGAGUUACUUAGUGAGGUGGGCGGACUUCGCCGCUGACAAAACCAUUAGCAAGGUAAGGUUUCUGAGUAUUUUUUUGUAGUCUAUUUGAUGGAAAUUUAGUAGAACAGUAGUGUGUAAAAAAAAGUAUAGCAUCCAUAAGUGGAAAACAUUUGAAAAAAUACAAAAAAGUCUACAAUCAAAUUUAAUUAUAUUUACUUCAACUAAAUGUCGUAGUGUAAGAUUUUUGCUAUCUAUUCAGUAAGUGUAUCAUAAUUUUUACGAAUCAAAACAUGUAAUGCUUUGUACAUAAAGGGCCCAAAUCCAUUCAGUUUGGUUCAAAGUUGCAUUUUUGCAGCGAGUGGAUCGCUGUUUUGUUAGACCAAAAAGUGGAAUCAGGAAAAACUCUAAAAAAUCUUAAUUUACUUAAUUUUACUUUAAUUUAAUCGAUUACAAAAAUUAUGUCAUCAUCUAGUUUAAUUCUGUACCCUCGAAUUACCAUUAUUGAUUGGAUGUAAUAAUUUUGUUGGUUAUCAUUGACAAAUGAAA